CGCAGUGUUAAUAUACGAUAUUUUUUAAGCACAGUAUUCACUCGUGCUGCAAUUUAUUUCAUACAACAGGUUGGUGUGGUCUCAGAUUAUGAUCUGUUAGCACUGGACUUGAUAUCAGGAAAUGGACAGGCCGAAGCGGACAUAUUUCCUGAGGUGGACAGCACUUGGAAGGUACAUUUUGAAAGGCUUGGACGGAUAAUAGACUUAAUUGUGUCGCAUGGUUAUGCAUCUACCUUGACCACCCCCCUCCCUCACAUGCACACGCGCAUACGCAUACACACAAGUUGUAGAUGUAGUUUGUCACUGGAUGUGGGAUGACAUGUAGGAUUGUAGGAGAGCUCAAAUAAAAAUUACUUUUGUGAAAGGGAAUGAUAGGCUUGGGCUCAGUCAAA